GAUGAACGCUGGCGGCGUGCCUAAUACAUGCCAGUCGAGCGAACAGACGAGGAGCUUGCUCCUCUGACGUUAGCGGCGGACGGGUGAGUAACACGUGGAUAACCUACCUAUAAGACUGGGAUAACUUCGGGAAACCGGAGCUAAUACCGGAUAAUAUAUUGAACCGCAUGGUUCAAUAGUGAAAGACGGUUUUGCUGUCACUUAUAGAUGGAUCCGCGCCGCAUUAGCUAGUUGGUAAGGUAACGGCUUACCAAGGCAACGAUGCGUAGCCGACCUGAGAGGGUGAUCGGCCACACUGGAACUGAGACACGGUCCAGACUCCUACGGGAGGCAGCAGUAGGGAAUCUUCCGCAAUGGGCGAAAGCCUGAUGGAGCAACGCCGCGUGAGUGAUGAAGGUCUUCGGAUCGUAAAACUCUGUUAUUAGGGAAGAACAAAUGUGUAAGUAACUAUGCACGUCUUGACGGUACCUAAUCAGAAAGCCACGGCUAACUACGUG
rnacentral:rRNA from 1 species